GACUUGUGUGUGUUGCUGUUCAGCGGUCUGCAUUCAAAAGAGUGUUACGACAUGCGGCAGUGGCGCCGUAAAAUCUUCAACUGGAUCGCAACUGGACUUAAUUGCCUGGUUGCAGUCAUUCGGUUGAUCGUUUACUGUGAGAAAAUUAGAGUGUUUCAAGCAGGCAUGUUUUGCUAUGAAUACAUUAGCAUGGAAUAAUAAUCUAGGACUUUCGGUUCUAUUUUGUUGGUGUUCUGGAGCUGAAGUAAUGAUUGAUAGGGAUAGUUGGGGGUGCUAGUAUUCAAUGGCCAGAGGUGAAAUUCUCGGAUUCCUUGAAGACUAACUUAUGCGAAAGCAUU
rnacentral:rRNA from 1 species